UACGUAGGGGGCAAGCGUUGUCCGGAUUUAUUGGGCGUAAAGGGCGCGUAGGUGGCCUGCUAAGCGUGCGGUGAAAGCUCGGGGCUCAACCCCGAGUCGGCCGUGCGAACUGGUGGGCUUGAGCACUGUAGAGGCAGGCGGAAUUCCGGGUGUAGCGGUGGAAUGCGUAGAGAUCCGGAAGAACACCGGUGGCGAAGGCGGCCUGCUGGGCAGUAGCUGACACUGAGGCGCGACAGCGUGGGGGAGCAAACAGG
rnacentral:rRNA from 1 species